rfam:Bacillus cereus AH603 contig00430, whole genome shotgun sequence.
GGAUUCUCGUCGAGUAAGAACUAGCCAUUCGCUCGUAGCGAGUCUUGGAGGGCUAAAGGUAACUUUAGUCUUUAAGCGUAGACAGUUAGGUGGCGGAUUUGCUUUACUGAUCGUUCUAUUCAUCCUGUUAAUCAUUAUAGGAUGUAGUUGUUGGGGCGGCGGUAGCGGCGGAUUCGGUUACUAAAAAAAGGGGUACUCAUAAGGGUGUCUUUUUUCUCAAUAUAAGAACU